GUGCUUAACACAUGCAAGUCGAACGGAAAGGCCCCUUCGGGGGUACUCGAGUGGCGAACGGGUGAGUAACACGUGGGUAAUCUGCCCUGCACUUCGGGAUAAGCCUGGGAAACUGGGUCUAAUACCGGAUAGGACCCCGAGGCGCAUGCCUUGGGGUGGAAAGCUUUUGCGGUGUGGGAUGGGCCCGCGGCCUAUCAGCUUGUUGGUGGGGUGACGGCCUACCAAGGCGACGACGGGUAGCCGGCCUGAGAGGGUGUCCGGCCACACUGGGACUGAGAUACGGCCCAGACUCCUACGGGAGGCAGCAGUGGGGAAUAUUGCACAAUGGGCGCAAGCCUGAUGCAGCGACGCCGCGUGGGGGAUGACGGCCUUCGGGUUGUAAACCUCUUUCACCAUCGACGAAGGUCCGGGUUUUCUCGGAUUGACGGUAGGUGGAGAAGAAGCACCGGCCAACUACGUGCCAGCAGCCGCGGUAAUACGUAGGGUGCGAGCGUUGUCCGGAAUUACUGGGCGUAAAGAGCUCGUAGGUGGUUUGUCGCGUUGUUCGUGAAAUC
rnacentral:rRNA from 1 species